rnacentral:rRNA from 1 species
AUACGGAGGAUCCGAGCGUUAUCCGGAUUUAUUGGGUUUAAAGGGUGCGCAGGCGGCCAUUUAAGUCAGCGGUUAAAUCGUGGGGCUCAACCCCAUUCUGCCGUUGAUACUGGGUGGCUUGAUUGCGGUCGAGGUUGGCGGAAUUCGUUGUGUAGCGGUGAAAUGCAUAGAUAUGACGAAGAACACCGAUUGCGUAGGCAGCUGACCAGAUCGCAAAUGACGCUCAUGCACGAAAGUGCGGAGAUCGAACAGGAUUAGAUACCCUGGUAGUCCGCACAGUAAACGAUGAAUACUUGUUUUCGGCGAUAUAAUGUCGGAGGCAAAGCGAAAGCGAUAAGUAUUCCACCUGGGGAGUACGCCGGCAACGGUGAAACUCAAAUGAAUUGACGGGG